GCCGGGUGACGCGCGCCUUUUUGGUUAAGCUUGGAAAGGUGCAGCUACAGGCUCCUCGCAGCGGGGCUCCCCUGAGGUUAUCCUGUGAGGACCCUUCGGCCAGACUCCGGCGCGCUCCGGUCACUGCGGAGUGCGGCGUGGGGGGACGCGACCUGGGACGCGGCAUGACCCGCGGGGAAGGGCUCGAAGGACCCGGCAAGCAGCGGGGGGUUUGCUGCCAUCGUCACCCCAAAGGUACUACAUGUAUGUGGUGCACAUGCAUGCACUCUGGCAAAAUACACACACAGCAAAACCACCUGAAAAACUUCCCCUUCGGUACUGGAGUGAUGGCUCAGCGGUUAAGAGCACCGGCAGCUCACAACUGUUGUGAUUCCAAAUCCAGCGGAUCUGACACCCUCGCAGAGUGCAUGUAGGCAAAACACUAGUACACGUUAAAUAAAUACAUCUUUUU